GACGAACGCUGGCGGCGUGCCUAAUACAUGCAAGUCGAGCGGACGAAUCGAAAGCUUGCUUUUGAUUCGUUAGCGGCGGACGGGUGAGUAACACGUGGGCAACCUGCCCUGUAGACGGGGAUAACACCGAGAAAUCGGUGCUAAUACCGGAUAACACGAAAUGUCGCAUGACGUUUCGUUGAAAGACGGCGCAAGCUGCCGCUACAGGAUGGGCCCGCGGCGCAUUAGCUAGUUGGUGAGGUAACGGCUCACCAAGGCGACGAUACGUAGCCGACCUGAGAGGGUGAUCGGCCACACUGGGACUGAGACACGGCCCAGACUCCUACGGGAGGCAGCAGUAGGGAAUCUUCCGCAAUGGACGAAAGUCUGACGGAGCAACGCCGCGUGAGCGAAGAAGGCCUUCGGGUCGUAAAGCUCUGUUGUUAGGGAAGAACAAGUAACGCAGUAACUGACGUUACCGUGACGGUACCUAACGAGAAAGCCACGGCUAACUACGUG
rnacentral:rRNA from 1 species